rnacentral:rRNA from 1 species
GAUGAACGCUGGCGGCGUGCCUAAUACAUGCAAGUCGAGCGAAGCGGGGGCGGGUGAGUAAGACGUAGAUAACCUCCUAUACGUCCGGGUUAACGUCGGGAAACCGGAGCUAAACCGGCUACUUAUGAUUGGAUCCGCGCCGCAUUAGCUAGUUGGUAAGGUAACGGCUCACCAAGGCCACGAUGCGUAGCCGACCUGAGAGGGUGAUCGGCCACACUGGAACUGAGACACGGCCCAGACUCCUACGGGAGGCAGCAGUAGGGAAUCUUCCGCAAUGGGCGAAAGCCUGACGGAGCAACGCCGCGUGAGUGAAGAAGGUCUUCGGAUCGUAAAACUCUGUUAUUAGGGAAGCGGUACCUAAUCAGAAAGCCACGGCUAACUACGUGCCAGCAGCCGCGGUAAUUC